rnacentral:rRNA from 1 species
UACGUAGGGUGCAGGCGUUAAUCGGAAUUACUGGGCGUAAAGCGUGCGCAGGCGGUCUCUUAAGACAGGUGUGAAAUCCCCAGGCUUAACCUGGGAACUGCGUCGGAUACUGGAUGGCUUGAAUUCGGGAGAGGGAUGCAGAAUUCCAGGUGUAGCGGUGAAAUGCGUAGAUAUCUGGAGGAAUACCGGUGGCGAAGGCGGCAUCCUGGACCGACAUUGACGCUGAGGAGCGAAAGCUAGGGGAGCAAACGGG